UAUAAAGUGGCGAACGGCUGAGUAACACGUGGGCAACCUGCCCUUUGCACUGGGAUAGCCUCGGGAAACCGAGGUUAAUACCGGAUACUCCAUAUUUGUCGCAUGGCGAAUAUGGGAAAGCUCCGGCGGCAAAGGAUGGGCCCGCGGCCUGUUAGCUAGUUGGUGGGGUAGUGGCCUACCAAGGCAAUGAUGGGUAGCCGGGUUGAGAGACCGACCGGCCAGAUUGGGACUGAGACACGGCCCAGACUCCUACGGGAGGCAGCAGCG
rnacentral:rRNA from 1 species